UCAGAGUGUACCGUUACGAGGAAAUUUCUUUAUCAUUAUGAGGGAGCGCACACGUUAUAUUCUUUCCUGCAUCAAUGACUCAUCAAUUUUUUUUGUGAGCCAUGAUCAAUGUGACAGAUGACCAACAAUGAGGAAUUUUUUUUUCAUUUGAAAAUCUGGGUCGUUGAUAACACGAGCGUUAUCAAGAAGUCGUUGAUUCUUUUCGACACCGGAAAUUCCAAUGACCUGCCAAUAAUAGAUUACUAACAUCGAGGAAUUUACAGGAAAAAAGAAAUGAAAUUAUGGAUUGCAUGUGAGAAGACAAAUGGAGAUUUCAAAAUUUUUUUUGCAAAAUUAUUUUACAAACUAGUUUCCUCCCCAGAACUGUUACCAUUCAAUAAUGACGAUUUCAUAAUUGGAAGUAAUUCUGUGAGGAAGCCAACUUAUAAUUUUAAUUCAAUAAUGUAAAUAUUUAUUUAUGCGUUGACUUUCCUCAUGCACUUGUCCUUUGUAUCUUUACAUAUUCCACCAUCAUCUGCAAUAUUUAAUUUAACUCCUCUCGAACUCAAAUUUGAACAAAUUUGAACUGGUUUUAUAACAGAAAUAAAAAAACAAAAAAAGCUUUUGAACCAGAAAGAGAAUUUAGAAAAUGACUCAAUGACUCCCCCGUUCAAAAAAAAAAAUCAAUAAUCACCGUAGAAAUCCCAUCCCCUACUUUUCAGGGAACCCCCAGGUUCUGCUCCCUGAGUUUCCACAAUUAAAUUUUCUUUAGUGAAACCGUAAAGUUGAGUCAGAUCGCUGCACGCAAGGAUGUGUAAACAACGCUGUCAAAAUUCUAUAAAAUGUUUUCAAAGUUCUGGAAGGCCAGGGAAUCCAAGUAUUUUAAUAAAAAUUAUCCAUUUGCAAUCCUCAUGAAAAAAAUCUCCUUUUUCUAAAAAUCCCCAUAACUCCAAUGAAAUAUUAGUUGAAAUGAUGGCAAACCAUAAUGCUCCCAUAAAAAGCUUCAAUUAGUCUCCAAAAUUCCUCGUUAAGUGCUAAAAACAAUUUCGAAAAAAUAAAUUCUCCUGGUCCUGACAAACUAAAUAAAUAAAUCGACAAAUACCCUUUCAAUCUAACUUCCAAAAAACAUUCAAAAAUACCUGUCAUUCUUUCUUAAAAAAUGCCUUCACUGUCACAAUUCAAUCGUCUGAGGCUAUCAUAAAAUUGACGAUAUCUCAUUGGUAAAAAAAAAAAAACCGAAAAAGUAAUUUCUCGACAAUUCGAUAGAACUUUAACGCUCACAGAUAAAUAUCUAAGAACCUCUUCAACCCAAUUUUUGAAGAACUUCAAAAAUGCCUUCCGUCAUUUGCCCCAAAAUUCCCAUUACUAAAUAACCUAUAUCUAUAAAACCUAUAAUACUACUGAUAAUACACAAUCAGAAAAAAAUCCUCAGUCAUUUUCGAUUAUUUCACUCUCCAUAAAGUCUCAAUAUUAAAAAAAACAAGAACUUCCAGAAAAAUCAAUAAUUCUCCACUACCCGCAAAAAACCGAAAAUAGGCCAUAAAAUACACUUCGCCUCUCCCCGAGCAAUUCUCACCGUUUAAUUAUCAAAAAUCUCGACACACUUUUUUCGAAAAACCCUCCAAAAAAACCUUCUGAAUCUGUAAAAUUGACAGUGACUCACGAGUCCCCGAAAGCAUGGCCGCAACGUCCCGAGGCGUCACGAGCACCCAACAAACACCGUCCACCCAUCCCCAUGCUGCCCUAAUUCCAAAAGUCGGAGUGUUCAAAAAAUUAUUAAAAAAUCAUCGAAACCCGCAAUUGCAGAUACCCUCUCCCCUCUCUGCCACCCCAAAAAACCAUUUCACAUGUGCUCCACGAUGGCUUCACAUCCGGUUACCGAGCACGUGUCAAAAAUCACGAAUGAAAAAAAAAAUCAAUAAAAAUUCAUACGAAAAAUUUCACCGAAGUCGAAAAAAAUGGGGUGGGAUGGACGAGGGGAGGUGAAAGGUGGGAGUGGUAUCUAUCUACCGCCAAUUUUAAUCACCCUCGGAGUGUGACAAAAAAAUCGAGCCACACGCCAUGUUGUCAGCGUGUGAGGAGAACCCCGUCAGUUUGGUGGAGAUGGUGAAAAUAAAUCACGUUUUAUUUGGUAAUUGUUGAUUUUCACCAUUGUUAAACAUUAGAAUUAGCUUGGAAAACCGAUAAAUGGGCUUUUUCGAUCAGCGGAGGAAUUUUAUUGAGUUUUUUUUUGUAUUUAUAAGAAGAAACUUACCUUCGUUCAGACGGAUACGACAUGUUUCACUCACAGUUGCGCGACGAAAAGGACGAAUUCCUAUUGCGUCACUGAGAUCACUCGAGGGGCAGCCACUGGACGGCGCUGGUGUCGCGCGCGGUUUAUUUUUGGUAGAGGAGGGGGAAGCAAACGAGCCUUUUCAAACAUUUUUUUGAGUGAAGGAUUUUUCGUUUAAAAAAAAUUUCAGUAGCGAGACAUGCAGGCGAUUUUUAGGAAAUUUUUAAGGGUUUUCUAGGUUUGUAAAUGCGUCUGGAAGUCAUGAUGGAGAUUUUUGAAGAAAAAGAGGGGGGAUGCGCGAUACUUGCGGCGCAGUGGAGGGAUGAGAGCGGGAAGAUUCAAAUGUCCAUUUUUGGAACGUUAUUCUUUAAUCCUUCUUUCAUCUUGUUACUUGUAAAUAUUUUAUAUAAUUGUACCAUUUAAACUCUUCAGAUGGAGAUUUCAAGGGGGAUUGUACAGUUAGAAUCUGUAUAAUACUCAUUUGUUGUUAGGCAGUUUGAAUAAUUUAACUUUAAAAUUAUUUAUACUCAAGAAAUGUUUUAAACAAUAUUGGUGAUUCGGAGAUUAACUUGUAACUGUUAAUUCUCUAUUAAGAAACUGAUUUUUUCAAAUUAACCAGAAAGAAAAUCUACCUCAUGUUUUCAAAUGAGAGGUAUUUUUAAAUUUUAUUCUAUGAAGAUUGUCGAAAGGUUCUGCAAUCCUAAGAAUAAACAACUGUUGCCAGAGGAAUGAAAAAAUUAUCACAUAUAAUACCACAAGUGGUUCAAAAUUAUCGAAUAUUUCCCGAUAGAUUCGUUGCAAACAAAUGAAGGAGUCAAGUUUUUCAGGCUAAAAAAUCACGAGUGCGAAGCACGAGUGAUUUUUCCUGAAAAACUUGACGACUUCAUUUGUAUGCAGGGAACCUAGAGGGAAAUAUUCUAUAAUUUUGAAGCUCGAGUGGUAUUCAGGGGAUUAUUUUUCCUAUCCAAAUUUCGGCCAAGAGAAUUGUGCCAUGACAUGAAAAGAGGUUUAUUUGGUUAAGUGUCGUUUGUUUACCAAAAUAUUCAAAAAAUUAUCGCUGAUAUUCGAGGUAGGCUAUACAAAAUAUCAACAAAUGGUGCAAUUCUAUUGGCUGAAAUUUGGGUGGGAAAAAUAAUCAUAAAAAAAUUAAUUAACAGAUAAGUCAUUUGUAAAUUACUUUUAUUUCAUAAGUAGCUCCCAUAGACUCUAAUAUUCACAUAACAUUUGUAGGUAUAAAAUAGAGAUUGUUUGAGGUAUAUGUACAAUUACAACCAUCGAUCACUUACAAAUAAUCAUUAAAAUUAAAUUCUCUCCUUCCUGUCUUCAUUUUGAUUAUGACUGACUUCUUACACAGCAUUGUCCACUUUGUACGACAUUGUGCAUUCGGUGUAUCCAUAGAUUUAUCCGCAUCUAUGUGAUUAUAAAAAAAAUGUCAACACGUCUGCCCUUGUCUCACUUACAAUGAACGUUUUACAUACGAGAACAAAAAAUAAAAUUUCACGUCCUACGCAGACAAAAUUGAUUAUUCCUGCUAGACAGAACAAAAAUACUUUUCCCACUGCUGCAGUAAAAAUAAUUUACCGAAUUGAAAAAUACAGUUUUACGUGCUCGGCAAAGAAAACCGAAUAUUCGUCAUUACCAGUAAAACCCUAUUUUUCAUGCUGUAACUGCCCAAAUACUCCACCAGACUCUCCACCAUCGAAACCCUCACAAGAAUGCACAACUCAAAAUAAACAACAAAACAGCAAUAGGAAAGAGAACAUAAAGUCCAACCCUGGGAUGACAGACUGAAACCAACAAUGAAAUAUCAUCAGCCUCGUGGUCAAUCCCGUCUCUCGUAGGAAUCUCCACAAUAACUCUGUCAUCAGACAUGAUGUCCAAUGGGAACGUGCAGUCUGUCACAUUGACACAGCUCUUGGUGACAUUUUCAUACUGAAAAGUUGGCUUCCAUAUGUCGAACACAGCGUGCAUAUCAUUGGAACCAAAGUCAUUGUCACUGUAAAAAAUAUAAUAGUAAUAUCCAUCCUCGGUGACGUUGUGAUGUGUCUGCAUGUGCAUGCCUCCACCGUUGAUAAGAUCAUCGGUGCUCUCGCAACUCGUGGGAGGGAAUUUGCUCGCCAGGAGUAUGUUUCCCUCAUAACAAUCAAAAAGAC